CCUACGGGUGGCUGCAGUGGGGAAUCUUGGGCAAUGGGCGCAAGCCUGACCCAGCAACGCCGCGUGAAGGAAGAAGGCUUUCGGGUUGUAAACUUCUUUUCUGAGGGACGAAGGAAGUGACGGUACCUCCGGAAUACUCCACGGCUAACUGCGUGCCAGCAGCCGCGUGAAUACGUAGGUGGAGAGCAUUAUAUGGAUUUGUUGGGUGUAAAGGCCGUGUCGGCGGGAAAUAAAGUCAGAUGUGAAAAUUCAGGGCUCAACCAUGGGCCUGCAUUUGAAACUGGUUUUCUUGAGUGCUUGAGAGGCAAGCGGAAUUCCGGGUGUAGCGGUGAAAUGCGUAGAUAUACGGAGGAACACCAGUGGCGAAGGCGGAUUGCUGGACAGUAACUGACGCUGAGGCGCGAAAGCGUGGGGAGCAAACAGGAUUAGAUACCCUGGUAGUC
rnacentral:rRNA from 1 species